rnacentral:lncRNA from 1 species
AUGCCAACAUCUCUCUCUCUCUCUCUCUCUCUCUCUCUCUCUCUCUCUCGUUUUAUUUUGGUGAUGAAGAAACAAAGGCUUAAGGAAGGAAAGCGACUUGACCAAACUCAUACCAGUUGCUGGGCAAAGUCAGAACCGGAAACACAAGGAAACAGAGAAUGGAAUCUGAAGAGUGACAGGUACAGGUGGUACAGUUCUGCACUGAUGAAGAUAAAAUGAAGAGAGACCUCAUCAAGCUCGGGAAAUGGAUAGAAAAGUAUCCGGGAGUUCUCGGUGUGGGCAACAAGCAGACGGUAAGUCUGGGGCAAAUGAAUCUAAACUAUGACUAUAAGAUGAUCAUCUCUGAAUUAUCCACUUGAAACCCUGGAAAUAGAAUUUAUUAUUGACUUGUUGCUCUGGCCUCUGUUUUGUGGCUGUUCUAAAGCCCAGCAGCCUGCUGACGGUCACUGGAUCCUGAGGGUCCCAGGAAGAAGGCAGAAAGUGUCUGGGGCUGCUCCUCAGCCUGAACCCCACAUCCCAAGAAAGGCAGAGAAGGCUCAAUAGCUCUAAAUUGGGAACAAACGGGAAGACUAAGAUAUCUCAGGAAACCGGAGAGAGUUUAUUAUCAAAAUCUGUAAAGUCUUUAAAGGAUCUAUGUGGUAAGCUUCAAGGCUGCUGCAUGCCAGUGUACCAGUUGGAUGCUGCAAGGGCACCUGGCCAAGGGCAUAGUGAGGAAUGGGGGACGGAGCGGGGGCCACACUGGGUCUGAAAUCUAGCCGUGUUCUGCUCACUGAACCAUGCCCCUGAAACAAGGCCACAUCUGCCUGAAAGGCGGAGCACCCAUUCCUAAACUGAAUGCCAGAGGGUGCUUUUUCCUCCUCUGCAUAAAGCCCUGUCUGUGCUAGCUGGGGCCCCAGAGUGAGAACAUCCUCAAAUCCUGGAAUGCUAAAACUCAAGGGCACCCAUUGAAAUUCUAUGAAAGUAGUUUAAAGAUAAAUAAAAGAUGGCAUUACUUUAUACA